CCACCUUCGGGUGGUGGAAAGCGGCGAACGGGUGAGUAACACGUGGAUAACGUACCUUUAGGUAGGGAAUAACGUCGGGAAACUGGCGCUAAUGCCGUAUGUGCUCCUCGGGGUAAAAGUCUUCGGACGCCUGAAGAUCGGUCCGCGGCCCAUUAUUUAGUCCUUGUUGGUGAGGUAAAGGCUCACCAAGGGUACGAUGGGUAGCUGGUCUGAGAGGAUGAUCAGCCACACUGGGACUGAGACACGGCCCAG
rnacentral:rRNA from 1 species